UACCAGCACCCCGAGUGGUCGGGACGAUUAUUGGGCCUAAAGCAUCCGUAGCCGGUUUUACAAGUCCUCCGUUAAAUCCACCCGCUCAACGGUUGGGCCGCGGGGGAUACUACAGGGCUAGGAGGCGGGAGAGGCAAGCGGUACUCGAUGGGUAGGGGUAAAAUCCACUGAUCCAUUGAAGACCACCAGUGGCGAAGGCGGCUUGCCAGAACGCGCUCGACGGUGAGGGAUGAAAGCUGGGGGAGCAAACCGG
rnacentral:rRNA from 1 species